rnacentral:rRNA from 1 species
GACGAACGCUGGCGGCGUGCCUAAUACAUGCAAGUAGAACGCUGAAGCGAGGAGCUUGCUCUUCUUGGAUGAGUUGCGAACGGGUGAGUAACGCGUAGGUAACCUGCCUUGUAGCGGGGGAUCACUAUUGGAAACGAUAGCUAAUACCGCAUAACAAUAGGUGACACAUGUCAUUUAUUUGAAAGGGGCAAUUGCUCCACUACAAGAUGGACCUGCGUUGUAUUAGGUAGUAGGUGAGGUAACGGCUCACCUAGGCGACGCUACAUAGCCGACCUGAGCGGGUGAGCAGCCAGACUGGGAGGGAGACACGGCACAGAGUCAAACGGGAAGCAGCAGGAGGGAAUCGGCGGCAAUGGGGGGAAACCAGACCGAGCAACGCCGCGUGAGUGAGGAAGGUUUUCGGAUCGGAAAGCUCUGUUGUAAGGCAAGAAAGAGUGUGAGAGUGGAAAGUACAGACAGUGACGGUAGCGUACCAGGAAGGGACGGCUAACUACGUG